AGUGAACGCUGGCGGUAGGCCUAACACAUGCAAGUCGAACGGCAGCACAGUAAGCGCUUGCUCUUACGGGUGGCGAGUGGCGGACGGGUGAGGAAUACAUCGGAAUCUACUUUUUCGUGGGGGAUAACGUAGGGAAACUUACGCUAAUACCGCAUACGACCUACGGGUGAAAGCAGGGGAUCUUCGGACCUUGCGCGAUUGAAUGAGCCGAUGUCGGAUUAGCUAGUUGGCGGGGUAAAGGCCCACCAAGGCGACGAUCCGUAGCUGGUCUGAGAGGAUGAUCAGCCACACUGGAACUGAGACACGGUCCAGACUCCUACGGGAGGCAGCAGUGGGGAAUAUUGGACAAAGGGCGCAAGCCUGAUCCAGCCAUACCGCGUGGGUGAAGAAGGCCUUCGGGUUGUAAAGCCCUUUUGUUGGGAAAGAAAAGCAGCAGGUUAAUAUCCCGCUGUUCUGACGGUACCCAAAGAAUAAGCACCGGCUAACUUCGUG
rnacentral:rRNA from 1 species